rnacentral:rRNA from 1 species
AUGGCCGGUUGGCCGAGGCCCGUGCUCGCUUGGCCACGCCCUCCUCUGAGGCCAGGAGCCCCCUCCCGUUCGCCCAUCCGACCCGCCAGACCACGCUGGCUCCCCCGGAGAUCCGUGGCCGCACCCGUUCCCGCACAGCCGCCCUUCACGCUCAAAGCGCCUCAUGUGUCCUGGAGUCAAGCAGCCCCCCAUGGCGGCUUGAUGCGGACCCUCUUCUGGAACAUUCGCGAUUUCGGCUAGGAUGGCCGGCGCCGCCAACUCAUAGAGUACAUGCGCGAUGAGCGAAUCGACAUAGUAGCAAUCCAAGAGACCAUGCGAACUGAGUUCACCUUGUCUGAGCUUGAGUGGCUGAGCACUCACCUAUUUGCCUGGCAUUGGCUCCCUUCUAGUGGGAUCGCCGGGCACUCAGGUGGCAUCCUGUUGGGUGUCAAGGAUGUCACCUUUGAG